rnacentral:rRNA from 1 species
UGAGUGCGAGCUGCUACGGCAGCGAAGUUGGUGACGUCAUGCUUCCAAGAAAAGCCCUAUACCCGUUAAGGCAUCAUGGCCUGUACCCGAAACCGACACAGGUGGGGUGGUAGAGAAUACCGAGGGGCGCGAGGUAACUCUCUCUAAGGAACUCGGCAAAAUGGCCCCGUAACUUCGGGAGAAGGGGUGCCACCGCAAGGUGGUCGCAGUGAAGAGGCCCAGGCGACUGUUUACCAAAAACACAGGUCUCCGCUAAGUCGCAAGACGAUGUAUGGGGGCUGACGCCUGCCCAGUGCCGGAAGGUUAAGGAAGCUGGUCAGCGCAAGCGAAGCUAGCGGCUGAAGCCCCGGUGAACGGCGGCCGUAACAAUAACGGUCCUAAGGUAGCGAAAUUCCUUGUCGGGUAAGUUCCGACCCGCACGAAAGGCGUAACGAUCUGGGCGCUGUCUCGGAGAGAGGCUCGGCGAAAUAGAAUUGUCUGUGAAGAUGCGGACUACGUGCACCCGGACAGAAAGACCCUAUGAAGCUUUACUGUAGCUUGGUAUUGUGCCCGGGCUCGCAAUGCGCAGGAUAGGUGGGAGGCUUUGAUCAUCGGCUUGCGGGUCGAUGUGAGCCAACGGUGAGAUACCACUCUUUGCGAGCUAGGGUUCUAACGGCCACCCGUCAUCCGGGGGCCGGACAGUACCUGGUGGGCAGUUUGACUGGGGCGGUCGCCUCCUAAAAGGUAACGGAGGCGCGCAAAGGUUUGCUCAGGCUGGUUGGAAAUCAGCCGACGAGUGUAAAAGCAGAAGCAAGCUUGACUGUGAGACCAACAAGUCGAACAGGGAGGAAACUCGGCUUUAGUGAUCCGACGGUUCUGAGUGGAAGGGCCGUCGCUCAACGGAUAAAAGUUACUCUAAGGAUAACAGGCUGAUCUCCCCCAAGAGUUCACAUCGACGGGGAGGUUUGGCACCUCGAUGUCGGCUCAUCGCAACCUGGGGCUGAAGUCGGUCCCAAGGGUUGGGCUGUUCGCCCAUUAAAGCGGUACGCGAGCUGGGUUCAGAACGUCGUGAGACAGUUCGGUCCAUAUCCGGUGCACGCGCAGGAAUAUUGAGAGGAUUUCUCCCUAGUACGAGAGGACCGGGAGGAACGCACCUCUGGUGUACCAGUUAUCGUGCCAACGGUAAACGCUGGGUAGCCAUGUGCGGAGUGGAUAACCGCUGAAAGCAUCUAAGUGGGAAGCCCACCUCAAGAUGAGUAUUCCCAUGGCGUAAGCCAGUAAGGUCACGGGAAGAACACCCGUUGAUAGGCUCUAUGUGGAAGCGCAGUAAUGCGUGAAGCAGAGGAGUACUAAUAGACCGAGGGCUUGAC